CAGAUAGGAUCAAAGUGACCUUGACUGAUGGAAGCUGGCAACGUCUCUCCUGCAGUCGGAAUCCAAGCUUGUCGCAUGUUUCUGCCCCAAUCAUGUAAAAGAGCAAUAUGCAAUUAGCUUCACAUUUGCCAGAUGUCUAUUAAUUCCUUUAUGCUGCCAUCUUGGUCAGUUCAAAUCAAGUAGAUGAAACCAGAUGGUUAGUGGGAUCUGUUGAAAGCCAAAACCCUUCUUGACUAAAGGUCCUGACACACCAAUCCGACGGUCGGCCAUCGGACAGUUUGGGGCCGUCGGUGAGCGUUCGUCGGCCUAGUUUUUUCGGUGUGUGCCUCAACGUUGGCUCUAGU